AGUGAACGCUGGCGGUAGGCCUAACACAUGCAAAUCGAACGGCAGCACAGUAAGAGCUUGCUCUUACGGGUGGCGAGUGGCGGACGGGUGAGGAAUACAUCGGAAUCUACUUUUUCGUGGGGGAUAACGUAGGGAAACUUACGCUAAUACCGCAUACGACCUACGGGUGAAAGCAGGGGAUCUUCGGACCUUGCGCGAUUGAAUGAGCCGAUGUCGGAUUAGCUAGUUGGCGGGGUAAAGGCCCACCAAGGCGGCGAUCCGUAGCUGGUCUGAGAGGAUGAUCAGCCACACUGGAACUGAGACACGGUCCAGACUCCUACGGGAGGCAGCAGUGGGGAAUAUUGGACAAUGGGCGCAAGCCUGAUCCAGCCAUACCGCGUGGGUGAAGAAGGCCUUCGGGUUGUAAAGCCCUUUUGUUGGGAAAGAAAAGCAGCAGGUUAAUACCCCGCUGUUCUGACGGUACCCAAAGAAUAAGCACCGGCUAACUUCGUG
rnacentral:rRNA from 1 species